rnacentral:rRNA from 1 species
UACGUAGGGUGCAAGCGUUGUCCGGAAUUAUUGGGCGUAAAGAGCUCGUAGGCGGUCUGUCGCGUCUGCUGUGAAAACUCAGGGCUUAACCCUGAGCUUGCAGUGGGUACGGGCAGACUAGAGUGCGGUAGGGGAGACUGGAAUUCCUGGUGUAGCGGUGAAAUGCGCAGAUAGUCAGGAGGAACACCGGUGGCGAAGGCGGGUCUCUGGGCCGUAACUGACGCUGGAGGAGCGGAAAGCAUGGGGAGCGAAACAGG